rnacentral:rRNA from 1 species
UACGUAGGGGGCAAGCGUUGUCCGGAUUUAUUGGGCGUAAAGAGCUCGUAGGUGGUUCGGUAAGUCGGAUGUGAAAUCUCCAGGCUCAACCUGGAGGGGUCAUUCGAUACUGCCGUGACUAGAGGUCGGUAGGGGAGUGUGGAAUUCCUGGUGGAGCGGUGAAAUGCGUAGAUAUCUGGAGGAACACCGGUGGCGAAGGCGACGUCCUGGACCGGCAUUGACGCUGAGGCGCGAAAGCCAGGGGAGCAAACGGG